GCUACAUCGUUUACUCUGUCUCUCUCCUUUCUCAGAUCUCGACUUCUGUAUUUAUCUAUUACAGUCGAUUGAGAGUUGUGAAACAGUUUAUCAUCCACAAUCUCUUGUUGUUAUCCACCUUCCUCCGUAUCUCACCAGAGUUUUCAUCCCCUCCCUCACCCAACGUAAAUAACGAACAACUCCGGGAAAGCCUUCCUCUUGUAAUCCUGCACCCCAUAAUAGGCGAUGGCAAAGACCACAUACGAAACAGAUACUUAUCAGGAGGUAAGAGCAACAAAGAGAAAGAGGAAGAUAAUUCAGAUACCUAUCUUCAAGACUCAAUAAUUUUAGAACCUCCUCAUAUAAGGAAUUCGUUUCCGGAAUACGUUUCUCAGUGGCAAAGAAGUGAUGACGAUAGUUUGUCUCCGACUCGAGAAAGUGAAUCUUUCAAGGAUAGAUAAUGUACGAAUGCACCAUCAAAGAUAUCAGAGAUAUUGUGCUAAUGCAGGUAAGAAACAGAUGUUUAUAAUCGUUCAUGUCAGCUUAAAAACCUUAAGCAUACUUUAUGUGUCUGUAUAGAUGACUUGGGCAUUGUUGUGUGUUCUUAUAGACCAGAUGGAUGUCGGUGAGGAUGUCGGUGAGGACAGUCACUUAGACGAAGUAAUUGCGUUGAAGAAGAUAGUGAAAUAUCUAGAAACCGUCGUGGAGAAUUUGCAUUAGGUGAUCAAUCGUUUAUUUCGAUUGGAAGAGGGGAAAAAAAAGUAAUGACGAUUAGUUAUAUUGAGGUCAAGUAGUUUUUUGUGUAAUGCCUAAAUCUUUUUAAGGGUGGAUGUAUGCGAAUGUGGUUACUCUACUACAUUAUGAAUAUGACCACAUGACAGUUUAUUUUUUGGGCAUUUAUGAAAAUCCAGUGUACCAGUCUGUUCGUUAACUUAAAUAUUUGAUGGAUUGUAGUUAUAUAAACUUUCACAAUAGAGUAA